CCUACGGGUGGCAGCAGUGAGGAAUAUUGGUCAAUGGGCGCGAGCCUGAACCAGCCAAGUAGCGUGAAGGAUGACUGCCCUACGGGUUGUAAACUUCUUGUAUAAAGGAAUAAAGUGAGGCACGUGGGCCGUUUUGUAUGUACUUUAUGAAUAAGGAUCGGCUAACUCCGUGCCAGCAGCCGCGGUAAUACGGAGGAUCCGAGCGUUAUCCGGAUUUAGUGGGUUGAAAGGGAGCGUAGAUGGGUUGUUAAGUCCGUUGUGAAAGUUUGCGGCUCAACCGUAAAAGUGCAUUUGAUACGGGCAGCCUUGCGUACAGUUGAGGUAGGCGGCAUUCGUGGUGUCGCGGU
rnacentral:rRNA from 1 species